rnacentral:rRNA from 1 species
GACGAACGCUGGCGGCGUGCUUAACACAUGCAAGUCGAACGGAAAGGCCCUGCUUUUGUGGGGUGCUCGAGUGGCGAACGGGUGAGUAACACGUGAGUAACCUGCCCUUGACUUUGGGAUAACUUCAGGAAACUGGGGCUAAUACCGGAUAGGAGCUCCUGCUGCAUGGUGGGGGUUGGAAAGUUUCGGCGGUUGGGGAUGGACUCGCGGCUUAUCAGCUUGUUGGUGGGGUAGUGGCUUACCAAGGCUUUGACGGGUAGCCGGCCUGAGAGGGGGACCGGCCACAAUGGGACUGAGAUACGGCCCAGACUCCUACGGGAGGCAGCAGUAGAGAGUAUUACACAGUGGGCGGGAGCCUGAUGCAGCGACGCCGCGAGCGGGAUGAAGGCCUUCGGGUUGUAAACCGCUUUCGCCUGUGACGAAGCGUGAGUGACGGUAAUGGGUAAAGAAGCACCGGCUAACUACGUG